GGAGAUCGCCGCUGCUCAGGGCAGAUCGCCCCCUAAAGGCCCAGCUCCUUCAGAGGCCCAGCCCGCCCAACAACGCAAGAAGCUCAUCCUCAGGAAGCCAAAGAGGAAAACCCCUCAGGUGGUCCAUGAGGAUGAAGAAGAAGACGAUGAGGCAACUGAAGAUGGCCUCAUCACCAAAAGAAAGAGGGUGGCGCCUUCUUCACCACCUGCUCCACCUCCUCCUCCAACAUCAACACCGCCUUCUCCGCCAGCUCUACCUCCAACACUGCCUCCUCCCCCAGCUCCCACAUCGCCAGUCCAAGCAGUUCCCUUGGCGGCGGCAUUUCCUGUGGUUGAGGCUGCUGAGCCCAACUUCAUGGAGAACCCCCCGAGCGCCUCCACGCCAUAUGUAUCUGCUGGAGG
rnacentral:lncRNA from 1 species